GCCGAUUUUGCAGGUUUUCCUACUUACAAAGCAUGUAGAGGUCUGUAAUUUUUUAUCAUAGGUACACUUCAACUGUGAGAGAUGGAAUCUAAAACAAAAAUCCAGAAAAUCACAUUGUAUGAUUUUUAAGUAAUUAAUUUGCAUUAAUUAUGAUGAUCAUUGAUGCCCCACCGAGGUGAGAUCUUGCAUGGAGCCCCAGACUGAGGGUGAUUGACCCUCAUCUUGAACUUCAUCCAUUUUCCAAUAAUUGCUCCAACAGUUGUUGCCUUCUCACCAAGCUGCUUGCCUAUUGUCCUGUAGCCCAUCCCAGCCUUGUGCAGGUCUACAAUUUUAUCCCUGAUGUCCUUACACAGCUCUCUGGUCUUGGCCAUUGUGGAGAGGUUGGAGUCUGUUUGAUUGAGUGUGUGGACAUGUGUCUUUUAUACAGGUAACUAGUUCAAACAGGUGCAGUUAAUACAGGUAAUGAGUGGAGAACAGGAGGGCUUCUUAAAGAAAAACUAACAGGUCUGUGAGAGCCGGAAUUCUUACUGGUUGGUAGGUGAUCAAAUCCUUAUGUCAUGCAAUAAAAUGCUUUGUAAGUAGGAAAACCUGCAAAAACGGCAGUGUAUCAAAUACAUGUUCUCCCCACUGUAUGUCUAGUGUAGUCUGUCUGUCCAGUCUAUAUGUCUAGUGUAGUCUGUCUGUCUAGUGUAGUCUGUCUGUCCAGUCUAUAUGUCUAGUGUAGUCUGUCUGUCCAGUCUAUAUGUCUAGUCUGUCUGUCUGUCCAGUCUAUAUGUCUAGUGUAGUCUGUCUGUCCAGUCUAUAUGUCUAGUGUAGUCUGUCUGUCUGUCCAGUCUAUAUGUCUAGUGUAGUCUGUCUGUCCAGUCUAUAUGUCUAGUGUAGUCUGUCUGUCCAGUCUAUAUGUCUAGUGUAGUCUGUCUGUCUGUCCAGUCUGUCUGUCUAGUGUAGUCUGUCUGUCCAGUCUAUAUGUCUAGUGUAGUCUGUCUGUCUGUCCAGUCUGUCUGUCUAGUGUAGUCUGUCUGUCCAGUCUAGUCUAGUCUGUCUGUAUGUCCAGUCUAUAUGUCUAGUGUAGUCUCUGUCUGUCUGUCCAGUCUAUAUGUCUAGUGUAGUAGUCUGUCUGUCUGUCCAGUCUAUAUGUCUAGUGUAUGUAGUCUGUCUGUCCAGUCUAUAUAUCUAGUGUAGUCUGUCUGUCUGUUCAGUCUAUAUGUCUAGUGUAGUCUGUCUGUCUGUGCAGUCUGUCUGUCUAGUGUAGUCUCUGUCUGUCUGUCCAGUCUAUAUGUCAAGUGUAGUCUGUCUGUCUGUCCAGUCUAUAUGUCUAGUGUAG
ensembl:lncRNA